rnacentral:misc_RNA from 1 species
GAUGAAGAACGUAGCGAAAUGCGAUAAGUAGUGUGAAUUGCAGAAUUCAGUGAAUCAUCGAAUCUUUGAACGCACAUUGCGCCCCUUGGUAUUCCAUGGGGCAUGCCUGUUCGAGCGUCAUUUGUACCUUCAAGCUUUGCUUGGUGUUGGGUGUUUGUCCUGAGGGACUCGCCUUAAAGUAAUUGGCAGCCAGUGUUUGGUUUUGAAGCGCAGCACAAGUCGCGAUUCAAGGCUAUACACCAGCUUCCACAAGCCUUUUUCACUUUUGAUCUCGGAUCAGGUAGGGAUACCCGCUGAACUUAAGCAUAUCAAUAAGCGGAGGA